rnacentral:rRNA from 1 species
UACGAAGGGUCCGAGCGUUGUCCGGAAUUAUUGGGCGUAAAGGGCUCGUAGGCGGUUUGUCGCGUCGGGAGUGAAAACUCAGGGCUCAACCCUGAGCGUGCUUCCGAUACGGGCAGACUAGAGGUAUGCAGGGGAGAACGGAAUUCCUGGUGUAGCGGUGGAAUGCGCAGAUAUCAGGAGGAACACCGGUGGCGAAGGCGGUUCUCUGGGCAUUACCUGACGCUGAGGGAGCGAAAGCGUGGGUAGCAAAACAGG